GUGCACUACGUUUGAACAGGUUCCAUAGGACUGUGGUCAACAGUAGUGCACUAUGUAGGGAAUAGGGUGCGAAUUUGGGACUCAGACAUGAUUAGUCACCCUGUUUCUAAAUGUAAGGGUGUGGAGGACUUUGCAUGUAUUGUUUCUUCUGUGUGUCUAGUUCUCAGAUAAUGUGUUACUCUGGCUGUCAGGUCAGGUGUUCUUCCUGCAGGCUUCCAGGGAGGUAACUUCUCUCCCAGUUUUACGUGCACCAAUCAGGUGUGCAUGGGUGGGGUUUUGUUUGUAGGCGAUAUAGACAGCUGUAUUCCGAUGCCUGUAACAUUUGUUGCCUCUCAGUGACAGGGAUUAUAUCAGAACUCGGUUAUUUACAGUCGGGUAAAUUCAAGCCUUGAUUGGAUGUUGUAAAUUGAAUCUUCCAAGUGGAUGCAGCUGGAAAAAACUUGGAAUCUACACUGUCUUAGAAGGUCUGUGUGCGGGUCAUGUUGUCCUCAGCCGAGGACUGACCUCACGUUGAACCCCCUUGGAGAUAUUAGAAGAGACACCAGAGGGCUGAAAACAUACAGGUGAAACGUGAUCCUCCAGAUAUGGCAGCGCCUGUGAGAUUCCCUUGGUGGAGAGCAUUUGUGACAAGGAAGAGUAUUCCAACAACCCAAGAAUCUGGUGAGACCCAACCUUCUGAGGAGAAGAUGUCUCCCAUCUCCUCCAAAUCUACACCGGACUCAAAGGGAAACGAAACAUUUCCAGAUGCAGAAACCUUUGACGAUGCAGAGUUUGAGCCAAUGUUCAAUGAGAAAACUUGUAGACGGAAUCUCAAAGUGUCACGUUCUGGACGUUUUAAGGAGAACAGAAGAGUACGGGGGACCAUACCUGACAAUAACAACUUCAGUGGAAGUGUUGCUGUGACUGCUGUUGCCAAGUAGUCCAGGCUAUACCAUUACCAUUCUACCUGCCAGACUGCAACCUGUUAUAGAGCAUGGAGCAAUGAUGAUGAAAUUUGAAUACAUUUUGAGGCAUUUUUUAAAGAUAUAACUUUCAUAAAUGUUCAUCAAUUGUGCCUAUCACCAGGUAUACACCUAAUUCAUAAUAUGUUUAGGCCAAUGAAGGAUGGAUACGGAAUAGUUAUGAAGUAUCAAAUAAUUGUAAAGAAUGAUUUCAUAAUCAUUUUAUAGUGAAAUCGGGAAGUAGAUCCGUCCGGGACACAAACCAGGGUCCGGUAACUGUCAAGCCAUAGACCUUAAUGCCAAGAGUUCUGGGUUAAGGUUACUAUAUAUAUAUACCUUCCUUCAGGAGAGUGUCCCCACACUUCUCUAUACCAAGUCUCUCUCAUGUGUACACGCCUCUCCGAUGGCCUCAUAGGUACCAUCCCACUUCACUAGGUGUGGGUUAAGGUCUCCUACAAUAUUGAUUUUCAAGUAUGUUUUUAUAUUUCAUACACACACAGCCUAAAGCACAUGGUAUCUAAUGUUACAAAUAUAUCCAACCAGGGUAAAUUACUGAUUUUGUCAUUUGUUUGAAUUGCUUUUUGUGUGUUUUGUUUUCUUGAUAUGAAGGACAUGACGGACGUGAGGUGGUUUGAUAUGAAGGACAAGAAGUGGUUUGAUAUGAAGGACAAGAGGUGGUUUGAUAUGAAGAACAAGAGGUGGUUUGAUAUGAAGGACAAGAGGUGGUUUGAUAUGAAGGACAAGAGGUGGUUUGAUAUGAAGGACAAGAGGUGGUUUGAUAUGAAGGACAAGAAGUGGUUUGAUAUGAAGAACAAGAGGUGGUUUGAUAUGAAGGACAAGAGGUGGUUUGAUAUGAAGGACAAGAGGUGGUUUGAUAUGAAGGACUAGAGGUGGUUUGAUAUGAAGGACUAGAGGUGGUUUGAUAUGAAGGACUAGAGGUGGUUUGAUAUGAAGGACUAGAGGUGGUUUGAUAUGAAGGACAAGAGGUGGUUUGAUAUGAAGGACAAGAGGUGGUUUGAUAUGAAGGACAAGAGGUGGUUUGAUAUGAAGGACAAGAGGUGGUUUGAUAUGAAGGACAAGAGGUGGUUUGAUAUGAAGGACAAGAGGUGGUUUGAUAUGAAGGACAAGAGGUGGUUUGAUAUGAAGGACAAGAGGUAGUUUGAUAUGAAGGACAAGAGGUGGUUUGAAAUGAAGGACAAGAGGUGGUUUGAUAUGAAGGACAAGAGGUGGUUUGAUAUGAAGGACAAGAGGUGGUUUGAUAUGAAGGACAAGAGGUGGUUUGAUAUGAAGGACUCACAUACAACCAAACGUUAUUUAGAUCAUGCUGGAUUAAUCUGAUUCUGUUCAUACUGUCCUAGGCUACCUAUGUUCUAGUAUGCAUUAAUGCAGUGGUUCCCAACCAUUUUUUGGUUACUGUACCACCAACUGAAUUUUGCUCUGCCUGGAGUACCCCUGAAGUAGACAUGUGUAUUUUACCAGUAGACCUAUGAUCUCAUGAGUCUUCUCAAGUACCCCUGUGGAUAGACCAGGUACCCCCAGGGGUCCUAAUACCACUGGUUGGGAACCACUGCAGUAAUGAACUCUUCCAGUGGAUGUGAAUGAAGGAUAUGCCAGCAGGUACAUUAGCUAGUGUUGAGGAGAUUUUAAGAUUAAAUUUAGUUGUUUACAUCACAUAAUAUUUUAAAUGUAAAAAGAACAAAACAUCUGCAUUUAGUACAGCAAUGUACGUACACACACACUCACUCAGGAAUUACAUAUGACGUUAAUACACCUUUGUUACAUAUUUAUUGUGGAUAAUAUAUUUACUAUUUUGUCACGAUCUCAAAAUCUCUGUUUUGAAUGGACUAUGCCUACUGGCAUCAUUGUUUACAGUCUGCUAAAAGUUUACUUCAGAGAUGUAUAUGAAGAAAAAACAUCUACAAUAUUGUAAAUAAAUGUGUAAAUAUGUCA